rnacentral:tRNA from 1 species
UCAGGCAAUGGCGCAACUGCGCGCAGCCGGUUUCGGCCUGGCCGCGACCCUUGUCGAGGGCGGUGAUGACGUGUUCCGCGCGUCCCUGCCUGAGC